ACAUACUGCGCUCCAAUCGCCUUUGUGCCAUUGUUCACAAGGUCCAGAAUUGCAAGCUUGAGUAAUUUCUAGAGGGGGUUUACCACAAUAAUUGUCUGGAACGACGCGGUUCUCUAUGUGACAUGCAUAACAUUCUGGACCCGUUACCGAAUACCAACUCGCACUGCUUGUUCACGGAAUAAUCUUCCCCGGGUAGCCUUCUCGGGUCCGUUCGUUCCAUUAUCUUAUCCGGCGUGUCCAGCAAACAGUCCCCCUUUCCGGCCCUGAAACGAAUUUCACGAGGCUUGAACGGGUCGUCCGGAGGGGGGCUCGUCGUGCAUCAUUCGAGGACCGAAUUUUUGUCGGAAACGGAUGGGAUCCGCCGGCGUGCGCGGCGGUCAUCCCAUUCAGAAAUGCAGCGGAACCGGAUUCCUAAGCGAGGAGUCGCCUUCUUCGCAGAAAAAUUCACGGCAGAAUCGAGUUGUCCGAUCGAAUCCAAUUUGGAUUUGUUCCCAACACUGGUGUGCACUGAGUUAUGAUUUCUCCUAGUUUCCUAGUCUCUUCAAUACAACGUAAAAAUAUAAUAUAAUAUUUAUUAAUUUGAGAA